rnacentral:rRNA from 1 species
UACAGAGGUCUCAAGCGUUUGUUCGGGAUUCAUUGGGCGUAAAGGGUGCGUAGGUGGCGCUGUAAGUCGGGUGUGAAAUUUCGGAGCUUAACUCCGAAACUGCAUUCGAUACUGCGGUGCUUGAGGACUGGAGAGGAGACUGGAAAUUCAUGGUGUAGCAGUGAAAUGCGUAGAGAUCAUGAGGAAGACCAGUGGCGAAGGCGGGUCUCUGGACAGUUCCUGACACUGAGGCACGAAGGCCAGGGGAGCAAACGGG